rnacentral:rRNA from 1 species
UACGAAGGGGGCUAGCGUUGUUCGGAUUUACUGGGCGUAAAGGGCGCGUAGGCGGCACCGCAAGUCGACUGUGAAAUCUCCGGGCUUAACUCGGAAAGGUCAGCCGAUACUGCGGGGCUAGAGUGCAGAAGGGGCAACUGGAAUUCUCGGUGUAGCGGUGAAAUGCGUAGAUAUCGAGAGGAACACCUGCGGCGAAGGCGGGUUGCUGGGCUGACACGUGACGCUGGAUGCGCGAAAGCUAGGGGAGCGAACAGG